UGUGACAGGGCAGCAGCUUAUAACCGUAAUAGCUGAUUUCUUGAUCCUUUAAUCUCCCCUCUUUAAUUUUUUUAUAACUAGUGAGAAAAAACACCUGCACAUAAUUACAUCCUGCCUUAGGUUUUUCAAGUUUUAAAUCAUAUGUUGACUUUGGUUCUGGUGUCUUUUGUGUCCUGACCCGAAUCAUUGUGCAUGACACGCAGUGCGUGCACAAACACCCAACCUCCCUGAGGAAGCUUUUCCGAGACUGUGAAACCCUGGUGCCAUCUGCAGCCCCCACGCAGAAAGCGUUACGAACUGGCGAGUCUUUCCUGUGCAUUCUGUAAGGUCUACACUGGGAUGGCCGAAUAUGGCAUCGUGCGGGAACACGAUGUGACUCCUCCCAAGGCCCUCCCAUGUUUGGUUGAUUUACUGCCCUCAGUGACAUUGCUGUGAUGGAGCUGGAUUGUGUAGCCAGGAUAUGGGAUUCAUAUGGGAUGCAGCUUUGCCCAUUAUGACACAUCAUUGGUUCCUUGCAUAAAACUUUUGUUGGUUUAAGGUUAUUUUUAUUUGAAAGGCAGAAUUACAGAGAAGGAGAGCUCCUCCAUCCACUGGUUCACUCCCCAGGUGACUACAGUGGCUGGAG